rnacentral:rRNA from 1 species
GACGUAGGAAGCAAGCGUUGUCCGGAAUAACUGGGCGUAAAGGGUGCGUAGGCGGCUUUUUAAGUCUGAUGUGAAAUCCCGUGGCUUAACCAUGGAACUGCACUAGAUACUGGGGAGCUGGAGUGCGGAAGAGGUUGACGGAAUUACUAGUGUAGCGGUAGAAUGCGUAGAUAUUAGUAAUAAGACCGGUGGCGAAGGCGGUCAACUGGGACGUAACUGACGCUGGGGCACGAAAGCGUGGGGAGCAAAC